AUGAAGCAGGGCAUUGCUGCAGGGAGACUCUGGGAGUUCCGGGGUGAAGAGAUCUGCCUUGAUCUGGAGACCUCUGCUGAAGGUGAAGACCUCCUAACGGGCCAGACAGCCUUAGCAGGAGUUCAGAAGUCUUACACCAAGAAUUCUCUGGAGCGUUACAUUCUCCUGUUUGGAGUGUGGACAAGAGUUUGGCAUUCUGCUUUUACAGAUCGCUGCCGCUCGCUCCUGGAGCGCAGGGGGGACGGCCAGACUCCCGCAUCUUUCAGCAAGAAGAAAGGAGCCAGCGGAGCGGACUAAUACGGACUUGUGUCGGGUGCCCUUGCCCUACAAAGGCUGCCUUUAAAAGAGGAACGCAGUGCUAUUUAAUGAGCUGUGAGAUGAGGCACUGCUGCUAACGCUCAAAUCCCAGGAUUCAUCGGCUAUUCAUUGUGCUUAAUGUACAUGUUUCUGCACCGUGCAUUUAGGAGAUCCCAGAGAAGAAUCCAAAACGGCUG
rnacentral:lncRNA from 14 species